UACGAAGGGUGCAAGCGUUGUUCGGAAUUACUGGGCGUAAAGGGCAUGUAGGCGGAUAUCUUAGUCAGGAGUGAAAUCCCGGGGCUCAACCUCGGAACUGCUUUUGAAACGGGAUAUCUAGAGUGUGAUAGGGGACAAUGGAAUACCCAGUGUAGAGGUGAAAUUCGUAGAUAUUGGGUGGAACACCAGAGGCGAAGGCGAUUGUCUGGGUCACAACUGACGCUAAGGUGCGAAAGCGUGGGGAUCAA
rnacentral:rRNA from 1 species